rnacentral:rRNA from 1 species
UACGGGGGGGCAAGCGUUGUUCGGAAUUAUUGGGCGUAAAGAGCUUGUAGGCGGUUUGUCGCGUCUGCUGUGAAAUUUCGGGGCUCAACCCCGAACUUGCAGUGGGUACGGGCAGACUAGAGUGUGGUAGGGGAGACUGGAAUUCCUGGUGUAGCGGUGAAAUGCGCAGAUAUCAGGAGGAACACCGAUGGCGAAGGCAGGUCUCUGGGCCACUACUGACGCUGAGAAGCGAAAGCAUGGGGAGCGAACAGG